rnacentral:rRNA from 1 species
AUGGGAUCGGAAGGGCCUUCAAUCGUGACUGUCCAUGUUACCGGAUUUAAGAAGUUCCAUGGUGUUGCUGAGAACCCGACAGAGAAACUUGUGACCAACAUUAAAUCCUUCAUUGAAAAGAGAGGGUUGCCAAAAAAUCUUGUACUUGGAAGCUGCGAAAUUCUCGAAACAGCCGGGCAGGGGGCGCUUGGAACACUAUAUAAAGUUUUAGAAUCUGCCAUUGCAGAUAGAGAGAACGGGUCAUCAGCUCAGGGGCAAAUAAUUUGGGUCCACUUUGGGGUGAAUAGUGGUGCAUCACGGUUUGCUCUUGAGAAUCAAGCUGUGAAUGAAGCCACCUUCCGCUGCCCAGAUGAGCUUGGGUGGAAACCUCAGAGAGUCCCGAUUGUCCCGUCUGAUGGAAGCAUCUCACGGACAAGAGAGACUACACUGCCAGUGAAAGAGUUAACCAAGUCACUCCGAAAGACAGGCUACGAUGUGAUGCCUUCGGAUGACGCCGGGCGAUUCGUGUGCAACUAUGUGUACUACCACUCUCUCCGGUUCGCGGAGCAGCACGGCAUCAAGUCUCUGUUUGUGCAUGUGCCCCUCUUCUCGACGGUCGACGAGGAGGUCCAGAUCCAUUUCGUCGCUUCCCUCGUCGAAGCUCUCGCUAGCUUGAACUAG